GUAUCCUGGCUCAGGACGAACGCUGGCGGCGCGCCUAACACAUGCAAGUCGAACGAGCAAGAGAGAGCUUGCUUUCUCGAGCGAGUGGCGAACGGGUGAGUAACGCGUGAGGAACCUGCCUCAAAGAGGGGGACAACAGUUGGAAACGACUGCUAAUACCGCAUAAGCCCACGGGUCGCAUCGACCAGAGGGAAAAGGAGCAAUCCGCUUUGAGAUGGCCUGCGUCCGAUUAGCUAGUUGG
rnacentral:rRNA from 1 species